UAAGCCAUGCAAGUGUUAGUAUGAACUGAUAAUAUAUAGUGAAACUGCGAAUGGCUCAUUAAAUCAGUUAUAGUUUAUUUGAUGGAUACGUGCUUCGGUACACUACAUGGAUAACUGUAGUAACAUAGAGCUAAUACAUGCUUAAAGACUUGACUUUCGGGAAGAGUCCGCACUUAUUAGAUUACAAACCAAUACCACUUGUGGUUCCUUUGGUGAUUCAUAAUAACUGAACAAAUCGCAUGGCUUCACGCUGGCGAUGUAUCAUUCAAAUUUCUGCCCUAUCAACUUGUUGUUAGUGUAUUGGACUAACAAGGUGAUAACGGGUGACGGAGAAUUGGGGUUCGAUUCCGGAGAAGGAGCAUGAGAAACGGCUACUAUUUCUAAGGAAAGCAGCAGGCGCGCAAAUUAUUCAAUGGGAACAACUUCCCGAAAUAGUGACAAAAAAUAACAAUGCACGACUUUUAGUUGUGUAAUUGGAAUGAGUACAAUUUAAAACCCUUAACGAGUAACAAUUAGAGGGCAAGUCUGGUGCCAGCAGCCGCGGUAAUUCCAGCUCUAAUAGCGUAUAUUAAUAUUGUUGCAGUUAAAACGCUCGUAGUUGAAUUUUGAAAUUUAAUCUAAUUGGUUCACUUGAUUGUGUAACUAUUAGUUUGAUUUCUUCCUACUAGUGACUCGAUUCUGUUCUUAAUUGAAUGGAAUAGCUAUCUCUCGGGGUAGUCGCUGGAUUAUUUUAGCUCCUCUAUGAGAUUGUAGGGUGUAAUAACUUGAAAGUUUUAUAUGUGGAUCAAGUUAAAGUAAUUUAGUGGAGUUCUAGUUCAUUUACUUUGAGAAAAUUAGAGUGUUCAAAGCAGCCUCUUGGGGCUUUGUAUAUAUUAGCAUGGGAUAAUGGAAUAGGAUCUGAUUGUUCUAUUUGUUGGUUUGAAACAGUUAGAUAAUGAUUAAUAGGGACAGUUGGGGGUAUUUAUAUUAAAUGGCUAGCGGUGAAAUGCUCGGACCCAUUUAAGAUAAACUAAAGCGAAAGCAUUUACCAAGGAUGUUUUCAUUAAUCAAGAACGAAAGUUAAGGGAUCGAAGA
rnacentral:rRNA from 1 species